rnacentral:rRNA from 1 species
CCUACGGGGGGCAGCAGUGGGGAAUAUUGGACAAUGGGGGCAACCCUGAUCCAGCCAUGCCGCGUGUGUGAAGAAGGCCCUCGGGUUGUAAAGCACUUUCAGUGAGGAAGAACGCCUGGUGGUUAAUACCCAUCAGGAAAGACAUCACUCACAGAAGAAGCACCGGCUAACUCCGUGCCAGCAGCCGCGGUAAUACGGAGGGUGCGAGCGUUAAUCGGAAUUACUGGGCGUAAAGCGCGCGUAGGUGGCUUGAUAAGCCGGUUGUGAAAGCCCCGGGCUCAACCUGGGAACGGCAUCCGGAACUGUCAAGCUAGAGUGCAGGAGAGGAAGGUAGAAUUCCCGGUGUAGCGGUGAAAUGCGUAGAGAUCGGGAGGAAUACCAGUGGCGAAGGCGGCCUUCUGGACUGACACUGACACUGAGGUGCGAAAGCGUGGGUAACAAACAGGAUUAGAUACCCCGGUAGUC